UUCUACCUACUGCCCCUUCCCUAAGCUUCUUCCCCCACCAGAAGAAUUUCUCCAGUCAAGUUUCCCGUGACUACCGAUCUCUCGUCCAAUGGAAGAAUACGGGAGGCGUGGCUCUGCUUUGGAUGUUUGUUUCCUCGGAAGACUACUAUUGGCUGGCGAGAGUAAACGAGGCAAGCCCGCGAUCGCGAAUUCUGUGGAAAAUAAAGUAUUAAGUGUAACAGUUGAAUACAACGUGUUCGUGUUGUAUUUUGUGCUAUACUGAGAAAAGAGAAGAAAGAAGAAAGAAUAUAUUCCAGGUACUAGGUACUGAGGGUUAAAGUUGGGGGUACUGCUAUGCGGAAUCUUCAUCAUUUUGUGGUACUUGUUGUAUACGCACAGGGUAAAUCUGACUCUUGUGUAAGUACUUCUCAUUUUCAACGUUCCCGCGUUUUGUUAAAAGACUCAACGACAACUAUACUCCGCUACGCUACUAUGCUGUAUUAUAUAAAUACAUCCUACGUAGUUUAUUAACAAACAACCCACCGAGAGUUACAAUGAAGAAAUACCUGCACCUCAAAGCUCACUACAAUUGGCUAAACAUUUCUGCUGGAACGUGGUACACGCUGGGAUUAUUUAUUUAUUGUUGUUAUGGAUGAUGAUGGGGAAGGGAUGCUUUGUUGGGAAAUUAAUUCACUUGGGCUGUUACGUUUUAAUUGGCUUAGUUGAUAGUAAGCUUUGGAGAAUAGGAAAAAAAAGUUGGUAAAUUGGCUUAGGUUGCAGAAAAAAUAUUAUUGAUUGGUGAAGAAUUUUAGCCAAGGAAAAUUUGAUUAUUUUGAAGAAAGUAGAAAAGAGUGGGGCAUAACGGCCCUCUUAAAAAUUGGGUAAAAAAUUU